rnacentral:rRNA from 1 species
UACGGAGGGGGCUAGCGUUGUUCGGAAUUACUGGGCGUAAAGCGCACGUAGGCGGCUUUGUAAGUUAGAGGUGAAAGCCCGGGGCUCAACCCGCGAAUUGCCUUUAAGACUGCAUCGCUAGAAUUGUGGAGAGGUAAGUGGAAUUCCGAGUGUAGAGGUGAAAUUCGUAGAUAUUCGGAAGAACACCAGUGGCGAAGGCGACUUACUGGACACAUAUUGACGCUGAGGUGCGAAAGCGUGGGGAGCAAACAGG